GAUCCUGGCUCAGGAUGAACGCUAGCGACAGGCUUAACACAUGCAAGUCGAGGGGCAGCGGGGAGUAGCAAUACUUUCGCCGGCGACCGGCGCACGGGUGAGUAACACGUGUGCAACCAACCCCGUACCGGGAGAUAACCCGCGGAAACGUGGACUAACAUCCCAUGAUACUCGAGGGCCGCAUGGCUCUCGAUUUAAAAUUCCGGUGGUACGGGACGGGCACGCGCGACAUUAGGGUAGUUGGCGGGGUAACGGCCACCAAGCCG
rnacentral:rRNA from 1 species